CGCAUAGGUGGUUCUAAACAAGCAGGCGAGUCACUGGCAAAAGGCAUUAGUGCGUUUUAAAACCUGUAAAUUAAACUGUAAGAGAUCAUUUUUUAAUAUGAAUCAAAAAAGAGUAAACAGCGUGGGCUAGUGUUGUACUGCAGACUGCAACCACCAUUCAGAAACUUUCUCAGAAAGAGAAAACUGCAGUUUCGUUAGUCUGGGUCCCUAAAUGGCAAGACAUGCUGGUUUGUAGAAAACUGUCCGAAUAUAGGCUACUAAUAACAAAUAAACACCAUCAUUGUUAUUAUUAUAUUUCUGUAUGCUACAGAGAAUAACGAAGCACAACUGUUAAAAUGUACAGCACAAUAAUAAAUCGGUGUCAAUUAGUCCACGUAUUUUUCAUUAAUAUGAUCAAAUACUAGUAUUCUUGUUUAAACAUAUUUUAAAUCGUUUAUACAUACUUUACAAAUAAAUUAUAAUAACAUUUGAGCGUGAAUUUAGCGGGAAAAUUGCCUCGACAUCGUAGUUUGAAACUUUUUUGGUGAAACUUUUUUGGUUUUCAAGACAUCAAGUGUACCAUAAUACACGAAUGGUUGUUAAUUCCCCAUUUGAAAGAGUUUUCUCCACUUUUAAGUCUAUGCAGAAAACAAUGAGCGCGCCAUAUUGUUUAGAACCGCGUAGCAACAAUAUCUAAUGAAGUAAGUAUUGUGACGAAAGCACUAGUAAAGAGCCGCAUUGUCAGUCACAGGGGAGAAGUUUGCCCCGAACUUCGACUGGCAGGCAGGUCUGCCUAUUAGGCAGAUAAUAAAACACCUCUCCGCGAAAACCCGCCUCCUCAGUUACAUCACAAAGGAAACACGCCUUCUAAGGGCAAAAGCUGCCUGUUUCCACUCCCUCACAUUCAAACUGAAAACUGCGCGCCAAGGUUUUGUAGCAGAACAGAGUUGGAAUGAAAAAGAUUUUUUUUUCAGCAUGAAGUAUCAGUUUCUUCAUGGUUAUGCAAACAGAUGAGUUGAUGAACUACUUCUACUACUUAAUACCAAGGUGGUCAGUUACUACAGGUAUCUGGAAGAUCUUCAUGGUGCUCAGAGGAUUUCUGAUUCCAAAACACAGGAUACUGCAAAAUCUGCAUUACAUAUGAAGAACAAAGGCCUUCAAAAUAAUUUUGCUUACAAAUCAGGUGGCCAUUGCACAGUGCCUUCAGAAGCAGAUAAAGCAAAAUGUUAUGCUGUGGAUUUAAUUAGCAUGAAAUGUGAAUGCGCCGUUUCUGAAAGGGGUAAUUUGUGCAAGCAUAUUGAGUUUGCAAAAAUGAUGUGCAAAGAACGGGAUUGAUAUUGAUGGAAUUCGAAAAUAAUUAGCCAGUUCACUAACUGAACAGCAUUGUUAUGAGUGGGAUGGAAAACAUUUAAUUGUACAUUGUGCUGGCAAUUUUGGAGUAGUACAUGUGCAAAACCAAUAGUGUACCUGUCUUGCCAAUAGUCUUGGAGAAAUAUGUGUCUAAGACUUUCUGAGUUAAUUGGUACACAGAACCCUAACCAAGAGGUAACUGACUGCUUUGCGAAUAUCACAGCAAAUUAUCAAUCGCACAAUAAACAGCUGUGUGUAAAGAAGAUGAUUUCAGGCUUAAAGGAGUGGUGUGACAGCAGUGAUUAUAAUGAAUCUCCAGAGUUGAAUGCUGUAGUAAAACAUGCACACCAACUAGCAUUUGGACAGUAUAGCGUGGCCAGCAAUAAAAUCAAAAUUAUAAGGCUGCAUGCUUACAGAAAACGCAUUGAAAGAACAAGAAGCCAUGCUAGACAUGCAUUCAUAUCAGUUCAAAGAACUCCUUAAUCAAACUUUAUAUACCCAUAGACCUGAUUCCAAAUUCAAAGUAUGUUCCUUUAGAAAAAGAAUAAUUGGUAGCAGAGCAAAGAAUCAGAUACUAAAAUCUAUCUGAACAUGUGCUGUUAUGAGCCCAUGCCAUUAUUUUUGAAUGCACACAAAACUGGACUAAGUAUAGAGGUUAAUUACAACCGUUAAGGACCUCAAAGGUCUCUUCAAGUAAAAGUAAGAGUGAAAUAGCUAUUUAUGGCAGCAUGUUAUCAAAAAUAACAUCAAAUAUAUGUUGCAUAGUUCUAAUUGCUGAUGAUUGUAUUCUGGCCAAGUUGGUCGAUUAUUUGAUAUGGUAUGUCUCCCUUUUCUCUCUUAAUCAGAUUGCUUUAAACAACACUUAAAUGUGCAUUAUUGUAACACUUUGUAAAUAAAAGUUGUAAAAAUAUGAUUUGUAGUAAAUAGAAAGUGCAAUCUUUAAGUAGCGAGUAGUGUAAAAGCAAAUUGUUAACAUAAAAAUCUAAGCCUGAACUGAAUUUCUUUCAAAUGGGGAACAUGUCAGGGUGUCUUUACAGCUGAGAAGGGAGGAGGAGGGUUCUUCUGUACAGCACUUUUUUCCACAAUUGGGUCCAGUACUUUGUAUUGCUCUGUAUCGGUCUGCUGAAGCAUGUAUGUGCAGUUUUACAUUUUAAUACUGUUAAUAUUUAAACCAUAAACAAAUAAAACAAGAAACUAUAGAUAUGAGAUGUUGUACAGUACCUUUAUGUAUUUUUAUGGUACAUUUUAAAAUAUAUAUUUAAGAGGUUGUAUAGAAAUGAAAAUGCUAUUUUAGGUUUUCUUUGCUUAGAAUUGUUCUUAAUGUUUUGAACAAUACCUUUUUUAAAAUAAUGAACAUAUAUGCAAAGGAUGCCUUAUUUUCAGUGUGAUCUAAAACUACACAUUCUGCAGUUUUUCUAUCUGGGAAUCAGCACAGUUUUGAAGUACAGAACUGUAAACAUCAAGCAUUUGAAAGCCCAGUCCAUGAGUAGUUAUGUCAAAGUCCGUAGCACAUUCUUUAAUUUGGUCGGUUGUAUUCUUGAUGGUUUCCCUGCC